AAUUCCAGCAUGGCGCCGCCACUGGCUCACCUUUGCAGUUGGGUGUUUUACUUUGGUCAACCUAUAGAGAAAGAAAUGGUAAUUAUAAUGGUGAAAGAAUUACGUAGAACGGGAAUCGAAAAUGACAUCAUCAAAGGCAGUUUUUGUAAUUUCUCACGACAGUGGUGCCGGGCUUUGCCCGCAGUUUUCGGUCAAUCUGCCAGUCUUUUUGCUCCGAUUUGGCCAUGAAGGUGUUUAAAAUUGAAUUCCGAGCAAAAUUUUUUUUAACCUCUUU
rnacentral:lncRNA from 1 species